rnacentral:rRNA from 1 species
AAUGAACGUUGGCGGCGUGGAUUAGGCAUGCAAGUCGUACGGUAAGCUUCGGCUUAUAGUGGCGAAAGGGAGAGUAACGCGUGGUUACAUGCCCUCGGGACCGGGAUAGCGGCGGGAAACUGCCGGUAAUACCGGAGAAUAUCUUUGGAUCAAAGGUGUGACUCCGCCCGAGGAUUGGAACGCGUUCUAUUAGCUUGUUGGCGGGGUAAUGGCCCACCAAGGCGACGAUGGAUACCGGGUGUGAGAGCAUGGCCCGGCUCACUGGGACUGAGACACUGCCCAGACACCUACGGGUGGCUGCAGUCGAGAAUCUUCGGCAAUGGGGGCAACCCUGACCGAGCGACGCCGCGUGCGGGACGAAGGCCUUCGGGUUGUAAACCGCUGUCAGUUGGGAGGAAGUGCCGGGGGGUUCUCCCCUCGGUUUGACCGAUCUUCAGAGGAAGGACGGGCUAAGUUCGUGCCAGCAGCCGCGGUAA